rnacentral:rRNA from 1 species
CGGGUAACGCGGUGCCAGCGGGCUGGGGAAUACGGAGGAUCUAAGCGUUAUCCGGAAGCAUUGGGUUUAAAGGGUCCGUAGGCGGCCUUAUAAGUCAGCGGUGAAAGUUUUUGGCUUAACCAAAAAAUUGCCAUUGAUACUGUAGGGCUUGAAUAUUUGUGAAGUAACUAGAAUAUGUAGUGUAGCGGUGAAAUGCUUAGAUAUUACAUGGAAUACCAAUUGCGAAGGCAGGUUACUAACAAAUGAUUGACGCUGAUGGACGAAAGCGUGGGUAGCGAACAGGAUUAGAUACCCGAGUAGC